AACGAACGCUGGCGGCAUGCCUAACACAUGCAAGUCGAACGAUACCUUCGGGUCUAGUGGCGCACGGGUGCGUAACGCGUGGGAACCUGCCCUUAGGUGCGGAAUAACUCCCCGAAAGGGGUGCUAAUACCGGAUAAUGUCUUCGGACCAAAGAUUUAUCGCCUUUGGAUGGGCCCGCGUUGGAUUAGCUAGUUGGUAGGGUAAAAGCCUACCAAGGCGACGAUCCAUAGCUGGUCUGAGAGGAUGAUCAGCCACACUGGGACUGAGACACGGCCCAGACUCCUACGGGAGGCGGGAGAGGGGAAUAUUGGAAAAUGGGGGAAAGGCUGAUCGAGCAAUGCCGCGUGAGUGAUGAAGGCGUGAGGGUAGUAAAGCUCUUUUAUCCGGGAUGAUAAUGACAGUACCGGGAGAAUAAGCACCGGCUAACUCCGUG
rnacentral:rRNA from 1 species